GGAGUUGGUGCGGGGAGCCAGAAUCACCUACCAGUGUGACCCCGGCUAUGACAUCGUGGGGAGUGACACCCUCACCUGCCAGUGGGACCUCAGCUGGAGCAGCGACCCCCCAUUUUGUGAGAAAAUUAUGUACUGCACCGACCCCGGAGAGGUGGAUCACUCGACCCGCUUAAUUUCGGAUCCUGUGCUGCUGGUGGGGACCACCAUCCAAUACACCUGCAACCCUGGUUUUGUGCUUGAAGGGAGUUCUCUUCUGACCUGCUACAGCCGUGAAACAGGGACUCCCAUCUGGACGUCUCGCCUGCCCCACUGCGUUUGUGAGUCCUGUUUAUUGAAUUGGGCCCCCAGUAGGUAGAAGCAGAUUCACUUUCUCUUGUUCAUGAUGGAAGGCUGGGCUGCUAGGAGGCCUUCUGCUUUUUGACAGGAGCUUUUAUUAUCAUUACUAUGACAAAACAGUACCUAAAACUGAUUGGGAGCACACAUACUAUAAUAUUUACAGUAAAUUUAUCAUGCGUUGCUCUAAGUCUUCU
rnacentral:sRNA from 1 species